CCCAGCUCAUCACUACUUUUGCCAGCGCCGGCGCUAGCGCUGCCUCCUCCCGCUGUGGAAGAGUGGAGUUUGCUGCCGCCGCCUGUCAACCCUACACGGGCAACUCGGGUCCGGAAUCCCAAGUCGCGGCAGCCUCGGAACAGGCCUGGAGGGAGGCAAUCUGCACGGCCGCCAGAACUUGGCCAUGGAGCCCGGGGAGACGGGGAAGGUUCCCGUGACCUUUGAUGACAUCACACUGUACUUGCUGCAGGAGGAAUGGCUGCUGCCGAACCAGCUCCGGGACUUUUCUGCUUCCGACAAGCUGACAGCACCUCUAGGACCGACUGCUGCCAAUCCUGAGCUGUCCCAUGAGUUUGGGCAAGGGACUGAGCCAUGGCUAGGCAUCAUCUAGGACCAGCGGAGUCUCCCGAACCAUCAUCCUGG